rnacentral:rRNA from 1 species
UACGAAGGGGGCUAGCGUUGUUCGGAAUUACUGGGCGUAAAGCGCGCGCAGGCGGCGGUGUUGGCCCGGCGUGAAAGCCCCCGGCUCAACCGGGGAGAGUCGUCGGGGACCGCACCGCUUGAGGGCGGUAGGGGCUGGUGGAAUGCCUGGUGUAGUGGUGAAAUGCGUAGAGAUCAGGCAGAACACCUGGGGCGAAGGCGGCCAGCUGGGCCGUCCCUG